GAUGAACGCUAGCGGCAGGCCUAAUACAUGCAAAUCGAACGGUGUCUUCGGACAUAGUGGCGCACGGGUGCGUAACACGUAUGCAACCUACCUUACAUUGGGGGAUAGCCUUUCGAAAGGGAGAUUAAUACCGCAUAAGACAGUAGCUGGGCAUCCAGCAGCUGUUAAAGAUUUAUCGAUGUAAGCUGGGCAUGCGUCCAAUUAGCUAGUUGGUGAGGUAACGGCUCACCAAGGCAAUGAUUGGUAGGGGAACUGAGAGGUCAAUCCCCCACACUGGCACUGAGAUACGGGCCAGACUCCUACGGGAGGCAGCAUUAGAGAAUAUUGGGCAAUGGACGCAAGUCUGACCCAGCCAUGCGGCGUGCAGGAUGAAGGCGUUAUGCGUUGUAAACUGCUUUUAUACAGGAAGAAACGACUCUUGCGAGAGGCAUUGACGGUACUGUAUGAAUAAGCACCGGCUAACUCCGUGCCAGCCGCCGCGGUAAUAC
rnacentral:rRNA from 1 species